GUUGUCGGCGUCAUUUCGGAAGAGGUGCUGUGAAAGGUAAUACAAUAUAUCGAGUGUCUUUAGAACAGAUAAGAGUAAUGAAAUCCGAACCUUCAAGUCCUAAACGAGACCGAGAUAGGUCUCCAUUUGGACUAGACAUGGACAGGAAUGAAGAAAAUGACAAAGAUCGUAACAAGGAAAGAGAUCGUGACAGAGCUCGUCGUGGAGACAGGCCGACCAGAUUUGGCCCACGUAGUAGCAGUACAACACGGGACAGAGAACGUGAACGUGGAAGGAAAUCAACUUCUGAUAGACGAAUCUAUGUUUCCAACAUAGCUUAUGAGUACAAAUGGCAAGAAUUAAAAGAUUUAUUCAGACAAGAAGUUGGAGAAGUUUCUUACGUUGAACUCUUCAUGGAUGAAAAUGACAAACCGCGGGGCUGUGGUAUAGUAGAAUUUGAAUCGCCGGAGUCUGUGAAAAAAGCUGUGGAAAAAAUGCACCGGUUUGAUCUUAAAGGCAGAAAGCUGGUUGUUAAAGAGGACUUUGGUGUUGACAGAGACAAAUAUGGUCGUCCAAUUAAAGGUGGCGGUGGCGGUGGUGGUGGCGGUGCUGCUGGUGGAGUAGGUGGUGGUGGCACUGCAGGCAUGGGCCAGGGAGCAGGUAAUUUAGCUCGAGGGAGAGAUGAUGUCCGUGCCAAGUGGGAUCAUCCUGCUCCACCACUACCAUUGCAGACAGCAUUUCCAGCGUUGGGGUCUCAGCAGGCUGCAAAUGCUGCUGCAGCUGCCGCUGCAAGUAGCAAGUGGGGAAAUACAUAUGGACUUAGUCCGGAAUUUCUUGAGUCUCUCUGGAUAACUGGCCCUUUGAACACAAGAGUUUUUGUUGCCAAUCUGGACUACAAAGUAGACGAAAAGAAGCUAAAAGAAGUAUUUAAACUGGCCGGAAAAGUGGUCAGUGCAGAAAUUAGUACUGAUAAAGAAGGCAAGAGUAGGGGAUUUGGUGUUGUUGAAUAUGAACAUCCAGUGGAAGCUGUUCAAGCUAUUUCUAUGUUGCAUAAUCAGAUGUUGUACGACAGGAAAAUCACUGUAAGGAUGGAUCGCAUAGAACACAAACAAGAAGGACCAUUGAAACUUCCUGAAGGUUUGAGAGGCCUAGGAAUGGGUCUUGGUGCUGGCGGAGCUCCACUUCAGGAUGUUGCAAGAAAUUUACCAAGUGUAAGUGACCAUGUGGGUGGUCUGGUUGGAGCUGUUGCAGGAGGUGCAGCAGGAUUGGGCACUGGAAUAGGAGCGGCAUCAGCACUGUCUAAUGUUGUUGGUCCAGCAUCUUUGGGUUUGAGUAACAAUGCAGCUUUGCCUGCCAGUUUAACUGGUGUGGGUGGCUUAGGAGCUGCUGCAGCAGGUGGCCUUAUGGGAGCCGGAGGUGGUGAUAUUGGUUUAGGAGGAGGGAUUGGGGCAGGUGGUGCAUUUGGGGGAAGCAAUUUAGGUGCAGGAUUAGGUGCUGGGGGAGCAGGACUAGGUGUUGGUUUGGGUGGAGGAGGAGGAUCAUUUGGAGGAAAUAUUGGCACUGGAGGUGGCAGUUCAUUUAUGGGUGGCGGUGCUGGAGGCGCCUUCGGUGGUGGAGCAGCAGGCUUAGUGGGUAAUAGUGCGUUCGGAGGCGGUGGACGUGAUUUUGAUUCUCUUAACUCUAGUCUUGGGGGUGGUGGAGGAGGAGGUGGUUAUGGCUCUGGUUUAGGGGAAAGAGAUUUUAGAGGGGCAGCGGAUGGUGGAUUUGCCAAUGGACCAUCAAGAGGAAUUGGAAUGGGAGGUGCAGCAGUUCCAGGUCAUAGAGGUUCAGAUACUAUCCUGAUCAAAAAUCUUCCUCCUUCUGCAACAUGGCAGAUGCUUCGGGAUAAAUAUGGGGAGAUCGGAGAUGUCAAAUUCGCAGAGAUUAGGGGUAAAGAGAUUGGCUUAGUGCGUUUCAGCUCUGAAUUGGAGGCCGAGCGUGCAGUCCAUAUGACGGAUCGCACUCGUUUGGAAGGCCGUACUAUUGAUGUAUCUCUCUUCUAUUAGGGUGGUUUGAAUUGUGGUCAUCAGUUGGAGUUUGAUAGGCUUCAAAGAAGACUGCUCGGCAAAUAAGCUGGACCUUACUUUCUUGGGGUGUAAGUGGGAGUUACUCCCAUGUUUGAGGAUACUCUCUGAGAAGCAGUAGCAUGGAAGUUCUCCAAGGAAAUUUUAAAACAGCUGAUCAUUGACAACUGGGGAAAAUAUUUCACAAAGUGCUGCUUAGCCUGUAAGGUUAUCAACCUGUUUCAUCGUGCACCAGUCUGCAUAUAAAUUGUAGAUUUGUUCCAGAACUUUCAUUCUUCAUCGCAAUUUCUGAAAUUGGGCUAGAAGUCAUGCUUAAAUAAUUUGGACAACCCCAAUGACUUCAAUCACAUGGUAGCUCUUGCUGGAAUGUGAAGUUUUGGGGCCAAAGGUGCCAGUCUUCGAAGUACGUGUUCCUUCUAUAAGGCAAUAAAUAAGUAAAAUUUACACAUUGGUAAUGUAUAAUGUGGACAUAAUUUUAUAAUGGUACAAGUGGAAGAUUGAUUAAAAUCGUAACGACAUUAAAAGAGUCACUAUGGAA